UCCAAACAUAUAGCCAAUUUAGUCGAUGUGUGAAAUGUCGUAAAUAUUUGACUAUUAUUAGUUUUAAUACGUCAUAUCCUGUAACAAGGGUUCCAUUUUACUCUUACAGGAUAAAACCGUUAGAGAUAGAUAUGACUCAUAUAACCCAUUCUAUUUCUAAUUUGGAUUCGGAAGAUAUUAUUUAUAAUCACGUCCACGUGAUAGAGUAAAAAAAAUACUUGUUCACAUACAUUUGUAUUACGGAUGAUGAAAGUAUGAUAGUAACAUAGUGUUAUAGCUGUUAUGAACUUACAAUAUCUGGUCGCAUGAACAUAAUCAUUGAUUGUAUUAUGAGAAGGAUGAGGAAAACUAUUUCAAACCGUCAACCACCAAAAUCAAUAGUUUCAAACCGUCAAUCAUCAGAAUCAAUAGAAUUAAUUGAAAUUGAAAGAUUUAAAAAAUGCUCUAAGACAUUUAUAAUUAAGAAUA